GAAAACUGCUCUUCAUUUUUACUUUCACUUUCCUAAAGAAAAAGUAGUAGAAUUAAUCGUCACCACUAAACAGACAUAUAUUAAUAUAAUUGAUCUGUUUUUAAGACGUUGAUUAUUAUAAUUUAAAAGAUAGAUAAAUGAUAAUAAUUAAAAAAGUAAUAGUACACCAUGACGGGGUAAAUUUCCAGCUCACUUAACAAAAUAUUGUAUCAUAGAGUUUUUUGAGUUACAUAACCUUCCAACUUAAUCAUUAUUCUAUUAUUUAAUUUUGAAUUCAAUAUUGUGUCGAAAAAUUUAGUGUUAUAUUCGUAGGCGCGCUAAUAGAAUACAAUUUUAAAUUAAUUUCAUAAUCUGCAGAUAUCGUUUGUUAUACUACACCAAAACAUCUUAUUAAAUCUUCAUUUUCACUGAUAAUUAUUGACCACAAAGAAGGAUUAGCAAGAAAUCGAUGCGCAGUAUUACAAUCGUUAGAUGUACCACUUGGCCCUGGUCGUAGAACAUUUACCAUAAACCCCAUUUGUUCUUAAUUUAUACAAGUACAACUUAAUUUUAUAUACAUCUCUUGUUGCCACUUUUCAAUAUCCAAAUGGUUGGAUUACAUGUAACAGAUAUUUGAAUACGUGUAAUAUGGAUAACCCAUUGUUGAAUGUUUCUGAAUUCGUAGGUCGUUUCCAUACAACGCCAUUAUCAUUCAUUUUUUAGGAGAAACAAGGUGCCGUAAGACAUAAGAAGAGACAUAAACUAAUGAGUGUAUAGUAGGUAGCCAUAGUAUGCUCGACUGCCACUUCGGUUCUAUCGAGAGUGUCGAAGAGCUGUUGACAUAGGAAGUUUAGGAGGAUCAAGGUAUAAGAUGCAGACGAAGUACAAGACACGAGUACUUGAGUUAAUCAGGAGACGAAACAAGCGUCUAGAAGUAUGCGACUGAAAAUGUGUAACGGUAAAAUCCGAUUACUAAUACACACUGCAAAAAAUGAAUACUCAAGUCAAAAAGUCAGAGCGAUAAAUUCAAAUAAUCAGAUAAACAAAAUUAAAGUGUCAUAAAUGUACAUUAUAAUGAAAAUAUUGCAUGAGAGAACGUGACUUGGAUGCCAAAUGGUAAGAUAAUAGGAAACCUAUCUUUACUAAUACUUAUUCAGUUGUGUUCUUUUCUGUCCCAUGGGU